GGUGCUGUGGCAGACGGCCGUACCGGUGCUGCUCGGGCUGGCCCUGGCGAUCGUGCUGGGUACGGUGCUCGGCGGCACCC
rnacentral:tRNA from 1 species